rnacentral:rRNA from 1 species
CCUACGGGAGGCAGCAGUGAGGAAUAUUGGUCAAUGGCCGGAAGGCUGAACCAGCCAAGCCGCGUGAAGGACGAAGGUGCCAAGCAUUGUAAACUUCUUUUGCCAAGGGACAAAAUCAGGCUCGUGAGCCUGACCGAGGGUACUUGAAGAAAAAGCAUCGGCUAACCCGGGGCCAGCGGCCGCGGUAAUAGGUGGGGUGCGAGGGUAAUCGGGAUUUAUUGGGUUUAAAGGGUGGGUAGGCGGACGGUUAUGUACGCGGUAAAGGCCCGGGGUUCAACCCCGACGAGCCGUUGAAACUGGCUGACUUGAGAGGUCGAGAGGAAUGCGGAAUGCGCGGUGGAGCGGUGAAAUGCUUAGAUAUUGCGAAGAACUCCGAUUGCGAAGGCAACUUACCGGCGGCGAUCUGACGCUGAGGCACGAAAGCGUGGGUAGCGAACAGGAUUAGAUACCCGAGUAGUC